AGAAAAGUAUUUAAAUAUAAAAAUAAAAUCUAAUUUGCAUUUAGAAAUUGGAAUCCCCUUUUCUG
rnacentral:tRNA from 1 species